rnacentral:rRNA from 1 species
GGGAGGAGGGUUAGAGGAGCGACGGCGGCGGUGGAGGAGGGGCAGGGCCGGGGAGGGCUAGGUGGAGGAGGGGCAGGAGAGGGUGGGUGGCGGCUGGAGCGGCAGGAGGAGCUGGUGCGGAGCGGCCUCUCUCUCUCUCCGCAGCGGGGGUCGCUGAUGCCGACAAGGGGGAGGAGGGAGGAGGAAGCGCGGAGUGGGCGCGGCGCGGCGGGGCCGCGCGACGACGAUAAAUAAGGGAGGUUUAGCGGUAACGGGUGUCGUCGUUCCUUAGUUCUAGGUUAGGGCAGGGGAGGGUAGGUUAGGAGGGGGCGCCGUUGUCUCUAGGUCGGUCUAGGCGGAUCAAGGUACCGCUGGCGGCCGUUGCGGGGGCGAGGGCGUUCGCGUAGCUCCGGUAGCAGGAGUUCGUGCGCGCGCUGCCUUCACGGAAGUGGUCGACGCUCCACACGUUGUUCCUGCAUCGGUAGCAGGAGUAGCUGGACGUGUCGACGUCGGAGGUGAGGUUCUAUGCGGAGUCGGAGCCACGUAGAGUCUAGGAGUGGAUAAGGUUACGUAGAAGCCAAACCCGCCGGCCCGCCGUACUCUUCUAGACAAACAACGGAGUGUCCUGGUACUCGGCCUCCGACCUCGUCUAGACCUCAAAUUAAAAAGUAUCAGGCCAACAUUAUUAAAAGUUGAAUAUCAGCCCAACGAGACGAGAGUCAGUGAAACAUCAAAACACUUACAAGAGUACAACUAAGAUAGAAGGUGGACCGAGUUUGUAAUCUCGUCGGAUGAGCAAAAAUCCUCCUCACCAUCAUAAACAAUCAAAAAGAACCUCCUGUCAUUCUAGUACGAAACUAGAACAUACGAUGAUACCAAUAAAACAUCGAUCAUAAACGGUUUCCAACCUCCAGUUGCCAACAGUGUUCGGAUGUUCUCUUAUAUAACUGUCUCUCACAUUACCACAUUUCGGUGGGUUAUUAAAGCAGCUUCAACUAGGGAUCUGGCGCACCCGCAUGUCUGGUGUCUGGU